rnacentral:lncRNA from 1 species
ACCGCCUCUAAUACCCUUCCCUCUCAACUCUCUCUACAAUCUCUCAUGAACCCUAGUCGCCGCCACCUAAUUCCACCCUAAUCCACCUCUACCACUGCCUAAUCCAUGUCCUCUCAUGGCCAUUUGAGAUGUGUAUCACCCCUAUAGCUCCUAGGUGUUUGUUUAUGUCAUUUCAUGGGCAGACCUCGAUGGAAUCUAGUCCAGUCCUUGCUCAAUUUCUGUUCAUGGCCUUUCUCUGACCUUCCAUGACCUUUCUCCUGCCAUUCAUAGCCUUUCAAGGCAGAUCCUUGACUUUUAUGGCUAGUUUGGUAACUUUCAAGGCCUUUCUCACCUUUUUUGGGUUUUCCAAAAUGCUAAUCUUUAAGAUCUUUCAACUUUCUUCAGAUCUAUCUUGGAUCUGUGCUUACUACGAACUUCUUAAGUGUUUUCGUGAAGUUCUCUCAAUUUUCUUUCAAAACAACUCUUCAUUUUCCAACGAUUUAGGUUUUCCUUUAAGUUUUUAAAGAUCUUGUUUAUGAUUUUAAUGUUAUUUGUGAUUUUUCUAUGUUUAAAACGACUUGCUCAUGUUGUUCUUCUUUCUAUUUCAGCAUGUUAAAAACCUAGUUUCCUUUUUGUCUUAUCCGACUUCUGAAAUUGUUUGCCUAAAUGUAUGCUUAUUUUGAGUUCUUUGUUUCUGACUCUCUUCUCCUUGUUUGGCUUAUUUGGUUUGAGUUCUUUUCAUCUCUUAAACUCGACUACUGUCGAAGCCCUAAUUUUUUAAAAGGGGUUUUCUCACUUAUUACUACUGUGACACCUUUACUUGUUUCUGAUUUAUCUUACCUUGAUGUUAUGUUCUUCUUCACUGUUGAUUCUAUGUGACCACUUGACGUACUUGGCUACUCAACUUCAAAUAUUGUUCUUACUAAUGAAUCCUAAGUUUAUUUUUGCCACUACCGUAUGUUUAUCUCUUUUGCCAAUGUGUUUGGCCUCGCAUGUCAGAUGCCUCUGUUCAGUCUAUUUAUAUAAUGAAGUGUAGAAUCAUGUUUCUUCCUUGAUUGAUCUUGUUUUUUUGACUGAUUGCAAAAUCCUUUCUUUUAUGACCCCUAAUUUCACUCCGUUGUUUAAAAUUAAUUGAUUCCUCUCCCUUUUGUGUGAUAUUUUAUCUUGUUGAAUCCUUUCCUGAAAUAAGCCUAUUUUGUACUUAGACUUGAUUAUUUACUUCAUACUUUUACUACCCCCUUACAUGGCAUUAAUCAAUCCGUCCUCAACUUGAUUUCUUUUUUAAAUUAAUCCUGCUACUACCCGUUAAACAGUGAUUCCUUUAUUAAAGGGAGUCACUUGUGCUAAUUGAUUCAGUCUUCUUAUAAAACAGAGAGUAACGAAGCAUUGCGUGAGUAUACCCCCUACAACAUAGUGAUUUAGUUAAUUUCUCAUACCACUGUCUUCUUGGUUGUUUAACUCCAUACAGGGACUUGAUCAAUUUUUAUACUAAACCUGGUCUCUCCACAAUCAGCCCUGGUGGCACCUCCAUGUACACUUCUUCAUGGAGGUCUCCAUGGAGGAAUGCAUUGUUGACAUCCAACUGUAGAACCUGCCAUCCUUUCUUGACUGUUGUUGCUAUCAAGUCUCCCACAGUUGUCAUUUUCAGUACUGGUGAGAAGGUCUCUGUAUAGUCUAUACCAGCUUGUUGUGUGACCCUUAACCACUAAUGUUGCUUUAAACCGUUCUAUAUUUUUGUCUACUUUACGCUUGAUUUUAUACACUCAGCUAC